rnacentral:rRNA from 1 species
GACGUAGGGGGCAAGCGUUGUUCGGAAUUAUUGGGCGUAAAGCGCUCGUAGGCGGGACAGGAAGUUCGUGUUGAAAGACCUCGGCUCAACUGAGGGACCGGCUCGAAUACUCUUGUUCUUGAGGCAAUCAGAGGGUGAUGGAAUUCCCGGUGUAGCGGUGAAAUUCGUAGAUAUUGGGUGGAACACCGGUGGCGAAAGCGGCUCUCUGGCCCGGUUCUGACGCUGAGGCGCGAAAGCGUGGGGAGCGAACAGG